UUGCCUGUGGCGUGCUCUAGUGCCACUGCCAAUGCAUUGCUGCUGUUUCCCUUUUUAUACUUUCGUUUUCCCCGAACUUGACUCAGCCUGCUCCUGUCCCUCCCCACAGCACCUGACAAUGUCAACCAAACCUUUUUUGGCGACUGGAGGAAUGGGACCCUUUCGUCCCCUCCUAGUUCUUCCCCCUUUCCCAGGGCAUAGCUGAGCAGCGAAGAAAGUGGGAUGAGCUCGGCUCGCUCCAGAGCAUGGCUUGAAUGUAUGGUGCCAUCAUGGGGUCCCCCCUUCUUCCUGGGUUUGGCUGUUCUCCUGGCAGAGACUUGCUCCGAAACCACUGAGACCCUCACCAAUGAUGAAUCAGGACCAAGUUUGGCAUACACAUCCAACAUAGGCAGCUCUAAAUACUGGCAGAGUUUAAAAGGAAUUCAACCCUUGUGCAUUGUGAACACAGCCGAUGACGGACCUGGACAUGGACUCAUUGUGGUCAAUAGUGGAUACUUUCGGGGUUUGGGGAGAUUUAAGCAAUGACUUUGGGAAGUAUAGCUCACCCACAUCCCUAUGCAUUUUCUAAGGACUGACUUUUUAAUAAAUAACGCUACAAAUUACCUAACCCAGGCAUUGCCAAGUACCUAACCUAGACUAUAUAUUUAUCUCUAUGUCUUCUUCUAUAUCUAUCCUAUAUCUGUAUCUAUAUCCAUAAAAAUGUAUGUGAGUGUAUGUAUGUAUGUGGCUGGGGCUCCCACUUACACAGACAACUAUGACUCCCAGCACUGUGGAGCCACCAAAGGCCCUCCCUCCAGUGAUACUGAGAGCACCGUGAACAUGUACAACAGCUGCCAAUCUUUGCGAAUGUCCUCCAAAAACACAGUAACACCACCCAAGUAAAUGCUUUCAUUCGGGGACAAUUUCAUCCUAUAUUUUAUGUGUUUCCUCCACCACAGACAUCUCAGUGUUUCUUACUCUCUCCAUUGGUGUAGAAUUUUCAUGAUCCCACCCACUGCCUCUCCCAUAAGCCUUUCCUAACCUUUUCUAUGGCACACGGCAAACAGAAUGGGAUUGAUCAGCAACUGAACACACUGGAGGGAUUUGGGGGGCUGACUCAAC
rnacentral:lncRNA from 11 species